CAAUUGCCAAUGAGACAACUCUCCACAAGAGACCAAAUGACACAGAAAUUAACAACUAUAGGUCACCAUACGCUCUUCAACAAUGAGCAAAGCCCAUACCACAUAGUCAGCUAUAAAGGCCACGAAAUGACAAUGUAAAACAAUUCAAAUGAGAAAACUAACGGCCUUAUUUAUAUACAAAAAAUGAACGAAAAACAAAUAUGUAACACAUGAACAAACGACAACCACUAGUUAAAAAUACCAAAACAAUAUGUAUAGUCUAUGUGUAAAAUUCACCAAUACCAUUGACAAUGUUUUACAAUUCAACUGUGUAUAGUUACCAAUACGAGUGUGUAUAGAUUAUCCAUACUGAUAUGUAUAGUUACCAAUACCAAAUGCAUAAUUCACCCAUACCUGUAGUUUACCAUCACCCAUGUGUAUAGAUUAUCA
rnacentral:lncRNA from 1 species